GGUUAACGCUAGCGUUGCGCCUAACACAUGCAAGUCGAGCGGGCGUAGCAAUACGUCAGCGGCAGACGGGUGAGUAACGCGUGGGAACGUACCUUUUGGUUCGGAACAACACAGGGAAACUUGUGCUAAUACCGGAUAAGCCCUUACGGGGAAAGAUUUAUCGCCGAAAGAUCGGCCCGCGUCUGAUUAGCUAGUUGGUAGGGUAAUGGCCUACCAAGGCAACGAUCAGUAGCUGGUCUGAGAGGAUGAUCAGCCACAUUGGGACUGAGACACGGCCCAAACUCCUACGGGAGGCAGCAGUGGGGAAUAUUGGACAAUGGGGGCAACCCUGAUCCAGCCAUGCCGCGUGAGUGAUGAAGGCCCUAGGGUUGUAAAGCUCUUUUGUGCGGGAAGAUAAUGACGGUACCGCAAGAAUAAGCCCCGGCUAACUUCGUGCCAGCCGCCGCGGUAA
rnacentral:rRNA from 1 species